rnacentral:lncRNA from 1 species
GUUGCCGAGGGAAGGGGGGCCACCCCUCAGCGCACGCCGCCGCCACACGCGUGACGGAGGGGCCGCUGGGGCAAGGCUGCGUGAAGUAGACGGUGCGGGCACACCCCUUCUAGAGCCGGAGCUCGCGCUGCACGUGAGAAGCUGCCGGGUUGCUCCGAAGGCACCGAGUCUCCACGGUGCGGGAUCUGUUGCCCGUUUCGUAGUUGUGGUCGCAAAGAAAAAUGUAGCCACAGUGCAUUCAUUACUCACCCCCUCCCGUGCCCCCCGCCCGAGUUCUCUCUGGUUCUGGCUCGCCGGGUGGAACGUGGAGGUGCACGCGUUCUCAGGGUCACGUAGCAAAAGCCUGGUUUCGGCCCGGAGGCCGGGCCGCUGGGGUUGCUGUGCUCCGCGGGCCCGCGAAUUC